GGGCCAGGCCAUGGACGCAGUCUGAUGCAGCCACUGCCGCGUGUGUGAUGAAGGCCUUCGGGUUGUAAAGCUCUUUCAGCGGGGAGGAAGGCGUUGAGGUUAAUAACCUCGUCGAUUGACGUUACCCGCACAAGAAGCACCGGCUAACUCCGUGCCAGCAGCCGCGGUAAUACAA
rnacentral:rRNA from 1 species